GGAAGGAGAAUCUUCAACAACAGGCCCCUGUGCAACAUCCAGGGGCGAAGAAUGUUCAAUAACAGGCCCCUGUGCAACACCCAGGGAAGGAGAAUCUUCAACAACAGGCCCCUGUGCAACAUCCAGGGGCGAAGAAUGUUCAAUAACAGGCCCCUGUGCAACAUCCAGGGUAAGUUUUUAGAUGCUAGGCUGCUAUUGUAACAUACUUUGAUGAGGUAUAUUCAGUUAGUGA